rnacentral:lncRNA from 1 species
UGUCACCCAUCGCGGCUGUGUCACCCGUCACAACCCAAGGCUGCGUGUACCACCCAUCACGGCUGUGUCACCGUCACAGCCACGGGCUGGUUGUGUCACCCAUCGUGGUUGUGUCACCAUCACAAAUGUGUCACCCAUCGCAGCUGUGUCACCGUCAAAACCACAGGCCGAUUGUGUCACCCAGCACGGCUGUGUCCCCAUCACAGUUAUGUCACCCAUCAGAGCUGUGUCACCUCACAUCCACAGAUCGGUUGUGUCACCCGUCACAGUUGAGUCACCUGUCACAACCCAGGGCUGGUUGUGCCACCCGUCACAGCUGUGUCACCAUCACAGCCACGGGCCGGUCGUGUCACCCAUCACGGUUGUGUCACCCAUCACAGUGUGUCACCUGGCACAGCUGUGUCACCCAUCACGGUUGUGUCACCCAUCACGGUUGUGUCACCCAUCAUGGUUGUGUCACCCAUCACAGUUGUGUCACAGUUGUGUCACCCAGCACAGUUGUGUCACCCGGCACAGCUGUGUCACCCAUCAUGGUUGUGUCACCCAUCCUGGCUGUGUCACCCAUCACAGUUGUGUCACCCAUCACAGCUGUGUCACCCAUCACAGUUGUGUCACAGUUGUGUCAUCCAUCACAGCUGUGUCACCCAUCACGGUUGUGUCACCCAUCACAGUUGUGUCACCCGGCACAGCUGUGUCACCCAUCACGGUUGUGUCACCCAUCACAGUUGUGUCACAGUUGUGUCACCCAUCACGGUUGUGUCACCCAUCACAGUUGUGUCACAGUUGUGUCAUCCAUCAUGGUUGUGUCACCCAUCACGGUUGUGUCACAGCUGUGUCACCCAUCAUGGUUGUGCCACCCAUCACGGUUGUGUCACCCAUCACGGUUGUGUCACCCAUCACAUUGUGUCACCCAUCACGGUUGUGUCACAGCUGUGUCACCCUGCCCAUCCCGCUGGAGCCGGUCGCCAUGGCGCGGUGCCGGAGCGGUAACCGGAUCCUCCGGGUCCAUCUCCUCGGGGCCGUCCCGGAGCGCGGUCGCUCAGCGCACGCCAUCGCCCGGCGGCUGCGGGGCUGGAGUCGCUCCAGGGACCCUCCCCGGGGGGGGUGGGCGCCGCAGCCACCAUCGCCCCCUCCCAACUCCCACGAGU